rnacentral:rRNA from 1 species
UAGGGAAUCUUCGGCAAUGGGGGGAACCCUGACCGAGCAACGCCGCGUGAGUGAAGAAGGUUUUCGGAUCGUAAAGCUCUGUUGUUAAGGAAGAACGAGUGUGAGAAUGGAAAGUUCAUGCUGUGACGGUACUUAACCAGAAAGGGACGGCUAACUACGUGCCAGCAGCCGCGGUAAUACGUAGGUCCCGAGCGUUGUCCGGAUUUAUUGGGCGUAAAGCGAGCGCAGGCGGUUAGAAAAGUCUGAAGUGAAAGGCAGUGGCUCAACCAUUGUAGGCUUUGGAAACUGUUUAACUUGAGUGCAGAAGGGGAGAGUGGAAUUCCAUGUGUAGCGGUGAAAUGCGUAGAGUUAUGGAGGAACACCAGUGGCGAAGGCGACUUUCUGGUCUGUAACUGACGCUGAUGUGCGAAAGCGUGGGGAUCAAACAGG